AUGUAAAUCAUUUGGGGAUCUUGUUAAAAUGUAGACUUCAAUUCAGUGGAUUUGGGGUGGUAACUAAGAUUUAGCAUUUCUAAAAAGUUGCCAGGUGGUACAGAU
rnacentral:pre_miRNA from 1 species